UACAGAGGGUGCGAGCGUUAAUCGGAAUUACUGGGCGUAAAGGGCGCGUAGGCGGUUAAUUAAGUUAGAUGUGAAAUCCCUGGGCUUAACCUAGGAAUUGCAUUUAAUACUGGAUAACUGGAGUGCGGUAGAGGGUAGUGGAAUUUCCGGUGUAGCGGUGAAAUGCGUAGAUAUCGGAAGGAACACCAGUGGCGAAGGCGGCUACCUGGACUGACACUGACGCUGAAGCGCGAGAGCGUGGGGAGCAAGCAGG
rnacentral:rRNA from 1 species